CUUCUCUUCCCACAAAACCAAUCACCAGCGUGUCACAUAUUGGACUUAUAUCAGCAGGAUUAAGUGUUGUCUUUAUUUUAGUAAUUAUAUUCGUUGUUGCCUGUGUGCACCGACAUUUAAGACGACGGGAAACAAUAGAAAAAAACGUCGGAUAUCUGUUUGUUGUUCCAUCAACCCCUUACUACAACGACACUACCGCGCAACCUCCUUUAGUGCCCUGGGAUCGGUUAGAUGUUCAAGGCGAGGCUAUUGCUCUGUCUUCUUCAUUGCCUGCAGAAAAUGUGGAUGUUCAUAGCGAGAUUUACAGUGAAAUUGAUCCACAGCUAGUCGAAGAUAUUAUAUCUAGAGAUGACGGAGCUACAAACGAGGCGCAGCUGGGGGCAGAACAAAUUCGAUAUGAGGGUGUGGGUCCUCCAGAACAGGGUGAUGAGCCGCAGUACAUUUAUGGUCGUUGUGGCCGCUGACUGAUAUUACAAUAAUACAUUUUGAAAGACUUUGAAUGUUCCCAAUGUGCAUUUCAAUAUACAUAAUAUUGAACUAAGCACAGCGCGAGCGCAUGCGGUGUUCAGGCGUUUCACAAUACAACAUUUCUAGAACGCAGCACUUGACACAUAAAAAGAAAACAGAGGAAGAAAAGAGAGCAAAAUCCAACGUGAAAGCACGGCCAACUACGGACCGGAUUUUGCAUUUCUUAAUAGUUCGUUGCAUCACGCCAUACAUUGUGAUUAGAUAUAUUUAUCAGAGAUCGACAUUUAUACUACAGCCAAAUGAUUUUAUAUAACACAUUACGACCCGAUGAAUAGAGAUAAGGUUUAUUCAACACAUUGCCUUUAUCCAACGGCUAGUACAUGUACAUAGGGACAGUACUACUUUUUUGGCCUUUCACCUCUGGUUAAAGGUC